UACGGAGGUGGCAAGCGUUGUUCGGAAUUACUGGGCGUAAAGGGCGCGUAGGCGGCUAGGCAAGUCAGAUGUGAAAGCCCCGGGCUUAACUCGGGAAUUGCAUCUGAAACUGCUGGGCUUGAGUUCUGGAGGGGGUAGUGGAAUUCCCAGUGUAGCGGUGAAAUGCGUAGAUAUUGGGAGGAACACCUGCGGCGAAGGCGGCUACCUGGACAGAAACUGGACGCUGAGGCGCGAAAGCUAGGGGAGCGAACGGG
rnacentral:rRNA from 1 species